rnacentral:rRNA from 1 species
CCUUAACCUCUAAAUAGCGCCGCUAGCCUUGUGCUGGCGCGCGCUUCUUAGGGGGACUAUUGACUUGAAGUCGAUGGAAGUUUGAGGCAAUAACAGGUCUGUGAUGCCCUUAGACGUUCUGGGCCGCACGCGCGCUACACUGACGGAGCCAGCGAGUUGACCUUGGCCGAGAGGUCUGGGAAAUCUUGGGAAACUCCGUCGUGCUGGGGAUAGAGCAUUGCAAUUAUUGCUCUUCAACGAGGAAUUCCUAGUAAGCGCAAGUCAUCAGCUUGCGUUGAUUACGUCCCUGCCCUUUGUACACACCGCCCGUCGCUACUACCGAUUGAAUGGCUUAGUGAGGCCUCCGGAUUUGUCUAAGCCGAGGGCGACCUUGGCGGUGACGGAGAAGCUGGUCAAACUUGGUCAUUUAGAGGAAGUAAAAGUCG